rnacentral:tRNA from 1 species
GCCUCUGUAGCUCAAAUGGCUAGAGCGCCCGUUUCGUAAUCGGGAGGCUGCGGGUUCGAUUCCUGCUAGGGGCU